ACCACCUCAUUCCCCCGGAUCUGGUUCUGGUUGGUGUCGGAAAUAAUGCCUUAAAGGCAUUACUUCCAACACCAACCAAAAGGCAUUGCCUUUUGGAACGGCACUUCCUGAUGUGUUUUCCUGUCGGUCUGGGUUUUUGAUAUUGCUGUUUAUUUACUGUUAUAUUCACUGUCUGUUUUUUAGUUUUACAUAUUUCUUUUCUGUUUUUGUCUUUUUGUCCAAAAUUCUAACAAUAUGUCUUUGGUAUUUUCAAUUUCACUGUUUUCAUAUAGCAACUCUCCUAGUAUGGCAUCUGUGUCUUCUUGGUAUGGUCGUUGUAGGACUGGGUGUCUCUGUCUUUCUAAGUUGUAGGCUGGACAGUAAAGAAUAAAAUGUUUUAGGUCUUCCACUGGGUCACCACACAUAAUACAUUCUGUUGCCGCAUUUAUAAACCUUUGCCUAUCUCCAAGAUCCAUAUUGUUGGUCCUACAUCGAAAGAGUAUGAUGGUAGCCUCCCUGUUGUCAUAAAUCUUAUCCUGCCCUCCUAGCUAUACUUUGCCUCAUCUCCCUGUACAUCUUCAGGCUUACUUUCCCUUCCAUCUCCUGUUUCCACAUCUUUGUGUCUCAUUCCUUCACCUUCCUACUAAUAUCCAAGUAACUCUCAGCCUCCCCUCUUAAUCCGAUUAGCUGUAUGUAUUCUAGGAAUCCUGAUAUCCAUUUAUUUUUCUUGUUUGAGUUUCUCAUUUCCUCCACCACUCUGCUCAGUAAUUCAUUUCCUUGAUCUUUCAAUACAUAUUGCAGGUACUUUAACUGUCCUUCCAUUAACCGUGCCUUCAUACUUGAUAUUCUUAAUUCUCCUCUCAAUGCUGCCUGUUGUGCAUAACUUGGUGCUCCCAGUAUUUUCCUUGCCACGCUGUUCUCUAUUCUUUGGAGCUUUUCCACUUCCUGCUUCUUAAAAUCCAUUACGUUAGCUCCAUACAGGACUGCUGGGAGGACAAUACUUUUCCAGUAUAUUUUCCCUGGGAAGGCACCCACUGGAAGGUGAUAUCUCACCCAGUGUUCAGGAGAUGGAGGAAGGCGCUCAGGAUGGAGUGGACGAGGGUUGUGGCGGAGGAUGGCUGCCGGGAUAGGAGGAGAGAGAGAUAUGAGCGGGAAUCGGUGUAAAUUACCACCAUAGACGUCGGGUGAGAGGUGCGGAGGUAGAUGAGGGCCUGGAGAAGGACAAAGAGCUCCGUGGUAAGGACAUCUGUGUACUCAGGAAGCCUCCAUGUCUUACAGAUAGCAGUACUGGCAUCAUUAUAUAGCUGCUGCCGAGGAGGGCAGGGAGGCAUCUCUGGAGCCGUCCGUGUAGAUCUUGAGGUGGUGGUGAUAAAUGGACCGGUCCAGCUGUUGGAAGUGGGCUGCUGCUAAUCCACUCAUAGAUGGUUUGGGAGGAAGCCCAGGAACGUGGAGAGCAAAAUUAUGGGAGACGUCCAGCCAUGAAGGAAAAGGAGGUGCGGAGGUAACUGAUGUGAUUUACCCAGGAGAGGCGAGGGCCAUCCAGCCGCAGUCCGAGGAGGGUGUGUGAGGUUGAGUAUGGAACAGCCUCCCCACUUAAGGUGACGGGUCAGCCAGUGGGGUAGAAUCGUCAUCAGAAAAUGGGAUGUUCUGAGAUACCGACUUGCCCUCCAUGGAGCGGAGAAAGGACAUGGUACGCUUGGGAGAGGAGCGGAAGGAAAGAGUGGAGCAGUGCAGGUCCCAUGCAUUCCGCUUUGCCUUGAGGAUGGUCUUGGCACAGAUGGCGUCCAGGCGGCGGUAGGCACGGCCAGCCUGGAUAGUGGGGGUCCUACGCCACUGAUUCCAAGCCUGGCGACGGUCCUGUACUGCCUGCGCACAGGCUGCAUCCCACCAGGGCUUCCCAGGGCGGCGUGGACGACGACAAGUGAUGAGUGGGAAGGCAGCUGUGCCAGCCUCGCUCAGCACCCCAGCAAUGGUUGUUGCGGCUUCAUCCAGGGGAAGAUGUUGGGUGUUCAGUGAGGAGGGAAGCGCAGCCACAUACUGGGGCCAGCCAGAAGAAUUGAGCCUCCAGCGGGGCAUGCAGCCAGGUUGGGGCCGUGGAGAGACUUGUGGGAGGGAGGCGAGGAGAGGGAAGUGGUCGCUGCCCAUGUAAGGUCCAGUGCGGAAGGUGGAAUCCUUGAAAGUAGGGUCUCCAAGGAACAGGUCGAGCACCGAGGCGAUGAGACGAGGAAGUCAUGGAUGGCGAGAAGGACUCCUCCUCCACGUCCUUGACCACGAUCUUUGCGGAUGAUGCUUGAGUCUAAGCUACUUCCCAGUGGCGAAGCGUGGCAGGCUAUGGGGUGGAAGCCUCCUCCUGUGUCAUCCGAUGCUCCUGCCGGCACCCUCCUCAACGACACGCAGGUGGAGGGCCCGGCCCACGCCCCGUGAUGGAAGAAUGUGAAUGACGGAUAGGCUUUCAGUUGUGGCGGCGCCUUGAUCUCUCCCUAUCACGUAGUGACAGUGGCGCAUUGUCUCCUGGAGCCUGGAGUAACGGGAAACGGCACUGCCAAUUUUCUUAAGCCGUCUGUGGUGCAUCUGGGGCGAGGUGGACUUCACACGAGCAGAUGAGAGCCAAGCCUUUGACUACGAGGUGGCAGGGGUUCAGUGAUGUCUGUGGAGUCUCUCUCUCUCUCUCUCUCUCUCUCUCUCUCUCUCUCUCUCUCUCUCUCGAGGACAAAACAAAAACAAUCUUAACGAGAGAGAGAGAGAGAGAGAGAGAGAGAGAGAGAGAGUAUAGGGUAUGAUACAAUUCAACAUCCGUAUCUCUUUCUCUCCCUCCACACACACACACACACACACACACACACACACACACACCGGCAGAUAAGCUGAGGGGAGUGUACCUCACCUUUAUACU